UGGCUUAGAAGCAGCCAUCAUUUAAAGAGUGCGUAAUAGCUCACUAGUCGAGUGACACUGCGCCGAAAAUGUACCGGGGCUAAACAUAUUACCGAAGCUGUGGAUUGUCCUUUGGACAAUGGUAGGAGAGCGUUCUAAGGGCGUUGAAGCAUGAUCGUAAGGACAUGUGGAGCGCUUAGAAGUGAGAAUGCCGGUGUGAGUAGCGAAAGACGGGUGAGAAUCCCGUCCACCGAUUGACUAAGGUUUCCAGAGGAAGGCUCGUCCGCUCUGGGUUAGUCGGGUCCUAAGCUGAGGCCGACAGGCGUAGGCGAUGGAUAACAGGUUGAUAUUCCUGUACCACCUAUAAUCGUUUUAAUCGAUGGGGGGACGCAGUAGGAUAGGCGAAGCGUGCGAUUGGAUUGCACGUCUAAGCAGUAAGGCUGAGUAUUAGGCAAAUCCGGUACUCAUUAAGGCUGAGCUGUGAUGGGGAGAAGACAUUGUGUCUUCGAGUCGUUGAUUUCACACUGCCGAGAAAAGCCUCUAGAUAGAAAAUAGGUGCCCGUACCGCAAACCGACACAGGUAGUCAAGAUGAGAAUUCUAAGGUGAGCGAGCGAACUCUCGUUAAGGAACUCGGCAAAAUGACCCCGUAACUUCGGGAGAAGGGGUGCUCUUUAGGGUUAACGCCCAGAAGAGCCGCAGUGAAUAGGCCCAAGCGACUGUUUAUCAAAAACACAGGUCUCUGCUAAACCGUAAGGUGAUGUAUAGGGGCUGACGCCUGCCCGGUGCUGGAAGGUUAAGAGGAGUGGUUAGCUUCUGCGAAGCUACGAAUCGAAGCCCCAGUAAACGGCGGCCGUAACUAUAACGGUCCUAAGGUAGCGAAAUUCCUUGUCGGGUAAGUUCCGACCCGCACGAAAGGCGUAACGAUUUGGGCACUGUCUCAACGAGAGACUCGGUGAAAUCAUAGUACCUGUGAAGAUGCAGGUUACCCGCGACAGGACGGAAAGACCCCGUGGAGCUUUACUGUAGCCUGAUAUUGAAAUUCGGCACAGCUUGUACAGGAUAGGUAGGAGCCUUUGAAACGUGAGCGCUAGCUUACGUGGAGGCGCUGGUGGGAUACUACCCUAGCUGUGUUGGCUUUCUAACCCGCACCACUUAUCGUGGUGGGAGACAGUGUCAGGCGGGCAGUUUGACUGGGGCGGUCGCCUCCUAAAAGGUAACGGAGGCGCUCAAAGGUUCCCUCAGAAUGGUUGGAAAUCAUUCAUAGAGUGUAAAGGCAUAAGGGAGCUUGACUGCGAGACCUACAAGUCGAGCAGGGUCGAAAGACGGACUUAGUGAUCCGGUGGUUCCGCAUGGAAGGGCCAUCGCUCAACGGAUAAAAGCUACCCCGGGGAUAACAGGCUUAUCUCCCCCAAGAGUUCACAUCGACGGGGAGGUUUGGCACCUCGAUGUCGGCUCAUCGCAUCCUGGGGCUGUAGUCGGUCCCAAGGGUUGGGCUGUUCGCCCAUUAAAGCGGUACGCGAGCUGGGUUCAGAACGUCGUGAGACAGUUCGGUCCCUAUCCGUCGUGGGCGUAGGAAAUUUGAGAGGAGCUGUCCUUAGUACGAGAGGACCGGGAUGGACAUACCUCUGGUGUACCAGUUGUCGUGCCAACGGCAUAGCUGGGUAGCUAUGUGUGGACGGGAUAAGUG
rnacentral:rRNA from 1 species